UACGUAGGGUGCAAGCGUUGUCCGGAAUUAUUGGGCGUAAAGAGCUCGUAGGCGGUCUGUCGCGUCGGAUGUGAAAAUCCAGGGCUCAACCCUGGACCUGCAUUCGAUACGGGCAGACUAGAGUUCGGCAGGGGAGACUGGAAUUCCUGGUGUAGCGGUGAAAUGCGCAGAUAUCAGGAGGAACACCGGUGGCGAAGGCGGGUCUCUGGGCCGAAACUGACGCUGAGGAGCGAAAGCGUGGGGAGCGAACGGG
rnacentral:rRNA from 1 species